rnacentral:rRNA from 1 species
CACGUAGGGCGCGAGCGUUGUCCGGAAUUAUUGGGCGUAAAGAGCUCGUAGGCGGCCUGCUGCGUCCGCUGUGAAAGCCCGGGGCUUAACCCCGGGUCUGCAGUGGAUACGGGCAGGCUAGAGGUAGGUAGGGGAGAAUGGAAUUCCCGGUGUAGCGGUGAAAUGCGCAGAUAUCGGGAGGAACACCGGUGGCGAAGGCGGUUCUCUGGGCCUUACCUGACGCUGAGGAGCGAAAGCGUGGGGAGCGAACAGG